rnacentral:rRNA from 1 species
AGAGUUUGAUCCUGGCUCAGGAUGAACGCUGGCGGCAUGCCUAAUACAUGCAAGUCGAACGAGGAUCCUUGUGGAUCCUAGUGGCGAACGGGUGAGUAACACGUAGGGAACCUGCCCGCGCACCGGGAAUACGCUCUGGAAACGGAGAACAAAUCCCGAUGUACAGGAAGGAGGCAUCUUCUUUCUGUGAAACAUCCUGUAAGGGAUGGGGCGCGGAUGGACCUGCGGUGCAUUAGUUGGUUGGCGAGGGUAAAGGCCCACCAAGACGAUGAUGCAUAGCCGGCCUGAGAGGGCGGACGGCCACAUUGGGACUGAGACACGGCCCAGACUCCUGCGGGAGGCAGCAGUAGGGAAUUUUCGUCAAUGGGCGCAAGCCUGAACGAGCGAUGCCGCGUGAGUGAAGAAGGCCUUCGGGUCGUAAAGCUCUGUUGCGGGGGAAAAAAGGCAUCUGCAGGAAAUGGUAGAUGACAGAUGGUGCCCCGCCAGAAAGUCACGGCUAACUACGUGCCAGCAGCCGCGGUAAUACGUAGGUGGCGAGCGUUAUCCGGAAUGAUUGGGCGUAAAGGGUGCGCAGGCGGUCCUGCAAGUCUGGAGUGAAACGUAUGAACUCAACUCAUGCAUGGCUCUGGAAACUGGAGGACUGGAG